rnacentral:rRNA from 1 species
UACGGGGGGUGCAAGCGUUGUUCGGAAUUACUGGGCGUAAAGGGCGCGUAGGUGGCCAACUAAGUCAGACGUGAAAUCCCUCGGCUUAACCGGGGAACUGCGUCUGAUACUGGAUGGCUUGAGUUUGGGAGAGGGACGCGGAAUUCCAGGUGUAGCGGUGAAAUGCGUAGAGAUCGGGAGGAACACCAGCGGCGAAGGCGGCAAACUGGAUAGGCACUGACACUCAGCAACGAAAGCGUGGGGAGCAAACAGG